AAGUAUAUAGCUCAAAUGGUAGAGCAAAAUUUUUUAAAAAAUUUUAGUUUUGAGUUCAAAUCUCAAUAUGCUUA
rnacentral:tRNA from 1 species